CCGCAGUCCUAUCAGGUUGCCCACCAAGACUGACCGCCACGGCCUCCGCAGGGGUCCGCGUAUAUUAGGGCCCCUUAGCUGCAGUACGUCAGGGUGCUCUCACAUUAAUAAGUACGUGCUUUUCAUUACUCACAGCGUAGGCCUCAAAUGCGGGAAAUGUGACAGACUUUCUAAAACCUGAAAUACUAAAAUUUUGCUGACUGCCCCAGUAGCGCUCUGAGAGGAAAUUCCCCUGUCCCUGGUGCUGGGCGUCCGCUCCGCGCAGGCGCAUGGGCCACCCCCAGCCCCCAGCUGGCUUUCAAAGGCCUUCCUGCCGCUGAUUUAUAGCAAAAGCACCUGGCUUCUGCGCAGACCCGGGACGGGUGCUUUCUCUUCUGCGUGCUACACCACAUCCGCACACGUGGACGCGGUGCUUUGCUCACGCUCGAAACGCAGUCCUGUCCUUAGAGGGCUUAGAGGUCCUCUCCGCGGCCACACGCAGCUCUCGCCAGGGAAGGAGCAGAGGUGCCAAGGCCGCAGCUGUCCUCCUCGGGAAGGCGAGAACACUAGCGCGUUAGCGCCAUCGCAGCUUCCACACGGGAUGCCGGGCGAGUUGGUGAGGUCGCCUUGCGCCCCGCAGCCUGCUGAAGGCGCGGUGUCCUCGGCUGGAGUGGCAGCUCCACCGGUUCUUCGGGCUGCGGCGCAGGAGGGCUGAGGCGUCAGAGAGUUUGAGGUUUAAACCCCAGAGGAGGUUUGCUGCGACAGCGUGAACUGGUCCUUCCUACAGCCGUCCGUGUCCACCUUCGGAUACAUUCGUGCGCAGCAUGAAACGAACACACAAACACCGCACGUCGCUGCUAAUCAUUAUUAAAGGAAAAUCGUGGGAGCUCCGGGAGAAUAAAAAUACCAAAUUUUUCUUCUCCUUUUAAUUCUAGGGAGCAGCAUUUGUGAACACUGCCCAUUAUAAAUAAUAAAAGCAGCCGGA
rnacentral:lncRNA from 1 species